rnacentral:rRNA from 1 species
UACGUAGGGUGCAAGCGUUAAUCGGAAUUACUGGGCGUAAAGCGUGCGCAGGCGGUUGUGCAAGACCGAUGUGAAAUCCCCGGGCUCAACCUGGGAAUGGCAUUGGUGACUGCACGGCUAGAGUGUGUCAGAGGGGGGUAGAAUUCCACGUGUAGCAGUGAAAAUGCGUAGAGAUGUGGAGGAAUACCGAUGGCGAAGGCAGCCCCCCUGGGAUAACACUGACGCUCA